AUUGAACGCUGGCGGAAUGCUUUACACAUGCAAGUCGAACGGCAGCACGGGGGCAACCCUGGUGGCGAGUGGCGAACGGGUGAGUAAUACAUCGGAACGUGCCCAGUCGUGGGGGAUAACGUAGCGAAAGCUACGCUAAUACCGCAUACGAUCUACGGAUGAAAGCGGGGGAUCGCAAGACCUCGCGCGAUUGGAGCGGCCGAUGGCAGAUUAGGUAGUUGGUGGGGUAAAGGCUCACCAAGCCUUCGAUCUGUAGCUGGUCUGAGAGGACGACCAGCCACACUGGGACUGAGACACGGCCCAGACUCCUACUGGAGGCAGCAGUGGGGAAUUUUGGACAAUGGGCGAAAGCCUGAUCCAGCCAUUCCGCGUGCAGGAUGAAGGCCCUCGGGUUGUAAACUGCUUUUUGUACGGAACGAAACGGCCUUUUUCUAAUACAGAGGGCUAAUGACGGUACCGUAAGAAUAAGCACCGGCUAACUACGUGCCAGCAGCCGCGGUAAUGUA
rnacentral:rRNA from 1 species